UCAAAGAAGGACUCCCACCUCUGGCCCCCCAAAGCCAGUAUUCUAUAUUAAACUAUUCUCUG
rnacentral:tRNA from 1 species